GCCGGGUGUGGUGGCGCACACCUGCAAUCCCAGCUACUUGGGAGGCUGAGGCAUGAGAAUCACUUGAACCCAGGAGGUGGAGGUUGCAGUGAGCUGAGAUCACGCCACUGCACUCCAGCCUGGGUGACAGAGGAAGACUCUGCCUCAA
rnacentral:SRP_RNA from 1 species